UUGUCCUUGCUCCGCUGGUGGCGGUUGGACUCGCAAUCCAAAGGUCGUCGGUUCGAAUCCUGGGAUGGCAGG
rnacentral:tRNA from 1 species